GUCCACGCCGUAAACGAUGUGCACUUGGCCGGUGCGGCUCUGACGCCGUGCUGGCCGGAGAGAAAUUGUUAAGUGCACCGCCUGGGGGAGUACGGUCGCAAGGCUAAAACUCAAAGGAAUUGACGGGGGCUCACACAAGCGGUGGAGCAUGUUGCUUAAUUCGAAGCAACGCGAAGAACCUUACCUGGGCUUGACAUGUACGGAUUAGUUCCUGGAAACAGGAAUGACGCUCGCAAGAGUGGAACGUACACAGGUGCUGCAUGGCUGUCGU
rnacentral:rRNA from 1 species